UGGCCCAUAACAGUUUUAAUAUAGACAAUGGUAACCCAAUAAUUUUUUUCCGGGAAAAAAACAGAAUAGCAAUAAACGACUUUUCUCCUUCGACUGUUUUCUCAUUCUAUUAUCCAGUUUCUUCUUCAACGAACCCUAUUUCCCCUUCAUCGCCUCUCCUUACUGUCGAUAUUUACCAUUAAUCACCGAGAUCAAAUCAAUAUAUCUCUGGAAGAAGAAAUAAGGAUAACCGUUGGAUAUUUACUUCUGCUCUUCUAUCAUGAAGAACAGGAGCAGGAGUCAAUCUUAUUAAUUAUUACAGAAGAUCGGACAUCAGUUUUGAAGUCCUAACAAACAGUCUUCGGAAGAGAAUACGAACAGAGAACAUUGAUGGGAUAGUCGGAGUCUACAAGGUUAUUGGAACUAAAAUGGAGCUUUAAGAUGCUGUGCGGGUCAAUGAAAGGAGUGUCGUGAAGAUGCUUUUACAGUGUCUCGUCACUUUUGUCUCUUUCGCAAUGCAGUGGAGAAGGAAACACCCAGAUGGGUAUGGAGAAACUGAGAUUAAGCUCGAUCCAUGGAAAGCUUAUAAGGAAUCAAGAUGGAGAAACAGAGAGUAUGUGCAUUCCUUAGGUUCUCUUGC